rnacentral:rRNA from 1 species
CCUACGGGCGGUAGCAGUGGGGAAUAUUCGGCAAUGGACGCAACUCUGACCCAGCAACGCCGCGUGAAUGAUGAAGGUCUUCGGAUCGUAAAGUUCUGUGAUGGGGGAUGAACACAAUGACGGUACCCCAAUAGCAAGCCACGGCUAACUACGUGCCAGCAGCCGCGGUAAUACGUAGGUGGCAAGCGUUAUCCGGAAUGGCUGGGCGUAAAGGGUGCGUAGGUGGUUUAGUAAGUUGGCGGUGUAAUUCUGGGGCUCAACCUCGGCGAUACAGCCAAAACUAGUAGACUAGAGUGCAGGAGGGGUGAGUGGAAUUCCUAGUGUAGCGGUGGAAUGCGUAGAUAUUAGGAAGAACAUCAGGGGCGAAGGCGACUUACUGGACUGUAACUGACGCUGAGGUACGAAAGCGUGGGGAGCAAACAGGAUUAGAUACCCGGGUAGUC